rnacentral:hammerhead_ribozyme from 1 species
AUGCGAAACCGCCCCACGCGGGCGGUCGUCGGACGGUGGCGCGUCCGGCCCGAUGAUGCAGCCAGGG